UACGUAGGGUGCGAGCGUUAAUCGGAAUUACUGGGCGUAAAGCGUGCGCAGGCGGUUCGUUAAGUCAGCUGUGAAAGCCCCGAGCUUAACUUGGGAAUUGCGAUUGAAACUGGCGGACUAGAAUCUGGCAGAGGGGGGUGGAAUUCCACGUGUAGCAGUGAAAUGCGUAGAGAUGUGGAGGAACACCGAUGGCGAAGGCAGCCCCCUGGGCUGAGAUUGACGCUCAGGCACGAAAGCGUGGGGAGCAAACAGG
rnacentral:rRNA from 1 species